rnacentral:rRNA from 1 species
GAGUUUGAUCCUGGCUCAGGAUGAACGCUAGCGGCAGGCUUAACACAUGCAAGUCGAGGGGUAACAGGGUUUAGUUUACUAAGCUGCUGACGACCGGCGCACGGGUGAGUAACGCGUAUACAAUUUACCUUUUACAGGAGGAUAGCCCAGAGAAAUUCGGAUUAAUACUCCAUGGCAUUACGGAAUCGCAUGGUUUUGUAAUUAAAGCUUCGGUGGUAGAAGAUGAGUAUGCGUCCUAUUAGCUAGAUGGAGAGGUAACGGCUCCCCAUGGCGACGAUAGGUAGGGGUCCUGAGAGGGAGAUCCCCCACACUGGUACUGAGACACGGACCAGACUCCUACGGGAGGCAGCAGUGAGGAAUAUUGGUCAAUGGAGGCAACUCUGAACCAGCCAUGCCGCGUGCAGGAAGACUGCCCUAUGGGUUGUAAACUGCUUUUAUACAGGAAGAAACUUAUCCACGUGUGGAUAACUGACGGUACUGUACGAAUAAGGACCGGCUAACUCCGUGCCAGCAGCCGCGGUAAUACGGAGGGUCCAAGCGUUAUCCGGAAUCAUUGGGUUUAAAGGGUCCGUAGGCGGGCAAUUAAGUCAGAGGUGAAAUCCCACAGCUCAACUGUGGAACUGCCUUUGAUACUGGUUGUCUUGAGUUACAGUGAAGUAGAUAGAAUAUGUAGUGUAGCGGUGAAAUGCAUAGAUAUUACAUAGAAUACCGAUUGCGAAGGCAGUCUACUAACUGUAUACUGACGCUAAGGGACGAAAGCGUGGGGAGCGAACAGGAUUAGAUACCCUGGUAGUCCACGCCGUAAACGAUGGUCACUAGUUGUUGGGGCAUUAUGCUUCAGUGAUUAAGCGAAAGUGAUAAGUGACCCACCUGGGGAGUACGAUCGCAAGAUUGAAACUCAAAGGAAUUGACGG